rnacentral:rRNA from 1 species
GUCUACGGCCAUGCCACCCUGAACACGCCCGAUCUCGUCUGAUCUCGGAAGCUAAGCAGGGUCGGGCCUGGUUAGUACUUGGAUGGGAGAAUAGGGAAACUUCCAGUAGAGGAGAUG